rnacentral:tRNA from 1 species
GGUCUGAUGGUGUAACGGUUAGCACCCUGCAUUCUGAAUCAGCGAUCCGAGUUCAAAUCUCGGUGAGACCU